rnacentral:rRNA from 1 species
UACGUAGGGUGCAAGCGUUAAUCGGAAUUACUGGGCGUAAAGCGUGCGCAGGCGGCUUUGCAAGACAGAUGUGAAAUCCCCGGGCUUAACCUGGGAACUGCAUUUGUGACUGCAUGGCUAGAGUGCGGCAGAGGGGGAUGGAAUUCCGCGUGUAGCAGUGAAAUGCGUAGAUAUGCGGAGGAACACCCGUGGCGAAGGCGGCUUCCUGGGCCGCGCCUGACGCUGAGACGCGAAAGCGUGGGGAGCGAACGGG